GUCCUACCUCAUCCCGAGUCUGCAGCGCGGCCCGGCUGUUGGGCCGCCCCUCCCACUCUCCACUCCUUUUCUCCCUAGGAAACCACUGAGCACAAAGGCAGCAUUGAUUCUCCGCCACCCCCUGAGCUGACUCCGGGAGGCCCCGCCGCCGCGCGCUUACCGCACCGCCUCGCCGCAACCCAGGGAGCGCGAUGUUCCGAUUUUCUGCCUGGGAGUCGGAGCCCACAGCAACAGUCGGGCGCCCAGAGAGCAGGCCUCACCUGUGGGCCGCCUCUGGGUCCUGGCCUCUGGCCAGGAAGCGUUCAGAGCCCGGAGGGGAACAGCUUCCUCUCCAGCUUACUACCCCAGUCCAGUCCUUCUGGGAGGAGCUGGCAGGGGCCUCCGUUGCCUACGUACCACUUUUCCUGGAUAAACACAGCUCUGUCUCUGUGGCCAUCAGCCCGGCCUUCUUAACUCCUUCCUUCAGGUUUCUAGCGGCAAGCCAGCGCUGUGCCCUGGGGCCUUCUCUGGGAGUUGGGGAGGGCGGCAAGGAAGAGGGAGGCGGCCGUUAGUGGGCAGUGGCCUCCAUCCCUCUGUGCUACUCUGGCUCCACCUCAGCCCUCCUGGGUGAAGCCCACAGCCAUGGCCACACAGACGGUAUCUUCUGCAAAGCCGUCUUUGCUGGAAUCCUGCCUUGGCCCUGGUUGCACCCUUCUGGAACCAUCCCAAUUGCUUCCAGACAGAAUGCCUUGCAGUGACUAGUUCUCUGAAUUACACGGGACCAAGGAAAAGUGACCAGGCUCAAGAUUUCUGGACAUAGAGACACUGAGGGCAGAGCUUUUUCCAUCAGGGAGUCGAGGUCAGGCUGGUCUGUGGCCCCAUCCCCCCAUCCUUGUCAGAAGUGGGUUAAACUGUACACAUGGAGGGUGUCUCCCUCUUCCUUCUCCUGAUUGAAGGCAGAUCCUCAGAAGCACAGGCCACCACUUACAAGAUGAGACCAUCAACUGUACUCCAGUUUGAAGGCAGCAGAAUACAGUGGAGGAAGCAAUGGACUUGGAGUCCCAACUCCUGGAUUGGAAUCCUGGACCUGACCUUGAAUCAAGCCUGUGUUACCUUGGUUUUGCAGGACCAUCAUGACCUGACCCACAGGGACAGCGGCAAGAGCAGAGAGUUCCUACAGCAAGAAAUUUGCAACAACCAACCACACCCCCUCCCCUUUUCUUGUAUAAAAAGAGCCUGUAUUCUGACUUGAGGAGGAUGGUUCUCCAAGACAUUAGUCUGCCAUCCUCUCUGUCUGCCAGCUUUCCAAAUAAAGUCGCUAUUCCUU